CCUACGGGAGGCAGCAGUGGGGAAUAUUGCACAAUGGCGGAAACCCUGAUGCAGCGACGCCGCGUGAGUGAAGAAUUAAUUCGUUAUGUAAAGCUCUAUCAGCAGGGAAGAAAAUGACGGUACCUGAGUAAGAAGCCCCGUCUAACUACGUGCCAGCAGCCGCGGUAAUACGUAGGGGGCAAGCGUUAUCCGGAUUUACUGGGUGUACAGGGAGCGUAGACGGGAGUGCAGGUCUGGAGUGAAAGGUGGGGGCUCAACCACAGGACUGCACUGGAAACUGGACGGCUGGAGUGCAGGAGAGGUAAGUGGAAUUCCUAGUGUAGCGGUGAAAUGCGUAGAUAUUAGGAGGAACACCAGUGGCGAAGGCGGCUUACUGGACUGUAACUGACGUUGAGGCUCGAAAGCGUGGGGAGCAAACAGGAUUAGAUACCCGAGUAGUC
rnacentral:rRNA from 1 species